UGGGGAAUAUUGGACAAUGGGCGCAAGCCUGAUCCAGCCAUGCCGCGUGAGUGAUGAAGGCCCUAGGGUUGUAAAGCUCUUUUGUGCGGGAAGAUAAUGACUGUACCGCAAGAAUAAGCCCCGGCUAACUUCGUGCCAGCAGCCGCGGUAAUACGAAGGGGGCUAGCGUUGCUCGGAAUCACUGGGCGUAAAGGGUGCGUAGGCGGGUCUUUAAGUCAGGGGUGAAAUCCUGGAGCUCAACUCCAGAACUGCCUUUGAUACUGAGGAUCUUGAGUUCGGGAGAGGUGAGUGGAACUGCGAGUGUAGAGGUGAAAUUCGUAGAUAUUCGCAAGAACACCAGUGGCGAAGGCGGCUCACUGGCCCGAUACUGACGCUGAGGCACGAAAGCGAGGGUAGCAAACA
rnacentral:rRNA from 1 species